UACGUAGGGGGCAAGCGUUGUCCGGAAUCAUUGGGCGUAAAGCGCGUGUAGGCGGUCCGGUAAGUCGGCUGUGAAAGUCCAGGGCUCAACCCUGGGAUGCCGGUCGAUACUGCCGGACUAGAGUUCGGAAGAGGCGAGUGGAAUUCCCGGUGUAGCGGUGAAAUGCGCAGAUAUCGGGGAGGAACACCAGUGGCGAAGGCGGCUACCUGGACCAGCACUGACACUGAGGCACGAAAGCGUGGGGAGCAAACAGG
rnacentral:rRNA from 1 species